rnacentral:rRNA from 2 species
AGAGUUUGAUCAUGGCUCAGAUUGAACGCUGGCGGCAGGCUUAACACAUGCAAGUCGAGCGGGGGAAGGUAGCUUGCUACUGGACCUAGCGGCGGACGGGUGAGUAAUGCUUAGGAAUCUGCCUAUUAGUGGGGGACAACAUCUCGAAAGGGAUGCUAAUACCGCAUACGUCCUACGGGAGAAAGCAGGGGAUCUUCGGACCUUGCGCUAAUAGAUGAGCCUAAGUCGGAUUAGCUAGUUGGUGGGGUAAAGGCCUACCAAGGCGACGAUCUGUAGCGGGUCUGAGAGGAUGAUCCGCCACACUGGGACUGAGACACGGCCCAGACUCCUACGGGAGGCAGCAGUGGGGAAUAUUGGACAAUGGGGGGAACCCUGAUCCAGCUAUGCCGCGUGUGUGAAGAAGGCCUUAUGGUUGUAAAGCACUUUAAGCGAGGAGGAGGCUACUUUAGUUAAUACCUAGAGAUAGUGGACGUUACUCGCAGAAUAAGCACCGGCUAACUCUGUGCCAGCAGCCGCGGUAAUACAGAGGGUGCGAGCGUUAAUCGGAUUUACUGGGCGUAAAGCGUGCGUAGGCGGCUUAUUAAGUCGGAUGUGAAAUCCCCGAGCUUAACUUGGGAAUUGCAUUCGAUACUGGUGAGCUAGAGUAUGGGAGAGGAUGGUAGAAUUCCAGGUGUAGCGGUGAAAUGCGUAGAGAUCUGGAGGAAUACCGAUGGCGAAGGCAGCCAUCUGGCCUAAUACUGACGCUGAGGUACGAAAGCAUGGGGAGCAAACAGGAUUAGAUACCCUGGUAGUCCAUGCCGUAAACGAUGUCUACUAGCCGUUGGGGCCUUUGAGGCUUUAGUGGCGCAGCUAACGCGAUAAGUAGACCGCCUGGGGAGUACGGUCGCAAGACUAAAACUCAAAUGAAUUGACGGGGGCCCGCACAAGCGGUGGAGCAUGUGGUUUAAUUCGAUGCAACGCGAAGAACCUUACCUGGCCU